UACGUAGGGGGCAAGCGUUGUCCGGAUUUAUUGGGCGUAAAGAGCGUGUAGGCGGCUUUACAGGUCCGUUGUGAAAACUCGAGGCUCAACCUCGAGACGCCGGUGGAAACCGUAAGGCUAGAGUCCGGAAGAGGAGAGUGGAAUUCCUGGUGUAGCGGUGAAAUGCGCAGAUAUCAGGAAGAACACCAAAGGCGAAGGCGGGUUACUGGGCUGAUACUGACGCUGAUGCGCGAAAGCCAGGGGAGCAAACGGG
rnacentral:rRNA from 1 species